rnacentral:rRNA from 1 species
GGGCCCGCACAAGCGGUGGAGCAUGUGGUUCAAUUCGACGCAACGCGCAGAACCUUACCAGCCCUUGACAUCCCGGUCGCGGGAACGAGAGAUCGAUCCCUUCAGUUCGGCUGGACCGGAGACAGGUGCUGCAUGGCUGUCGUCAGCUCGUGUCGUGAGAUGUUGGGUUAAGUCCCGCAACGAGCGCAACCCUCGCCCUUAGUUGCCAUCAUUUAGUUGGGCACUCUAAGGGGACUGCCGGUGAUAAGCCGCGAGGAAGGUGGGGAUGACGUCAAGUCCUCAUGGCCCUUACGGGCUGGGCUACACACGUGCUACAAUGGCGGUGACAGUGGGAUGCAAUGGAGCGAUCCUGCGCAAAUCUCAAAAAGCCGUCUCAGUUCGGAUUGGGCUCUGCAACUCGAGCCCAUGAAGUUGGAAUCGCUAGUAAUCGCAGAUCAGCACGCUGCGGUGAAUACGUUCCCGGGCCUU